UAAGGAAUAUUGGACAAUGGCGGCAACGCUGAUCCAGCUAUCCCGCGUGCAGGAUGAAGGGGCUACGCCUUGUAAACUGCUUUAGACUGAGACGAAAAAAUGGGAUUUAUCCUAUAUUGACGGUAUCAGUAGAAUAAGCACCGGCUAACUCCGUGCCAGCAGCCGCGGUAAUACGGAGGGUGCAAGCGUUAUCCGGAAUCACUGGGUAUAAAGGGUGCGUAGGCGGCUUGUUAAGUCAGGAGUGAAAGGC
rnacentral:rRNA from 1 species